GAAUUUUUUGAGUUAAGUAUCUUAUUAAAAAGUUUUGUCAGAAGUAAAACUAGAGUGUUUGACCCCACCUUAUCGAUAGUUACAAAUUUGGGAAGCUUUCAAAUUCACAACAUGCCGGUGGCUGUGUUCCAAGUGCUGGGUUUUUCAUCCCCCUCGUUGUUUGCGGACUAACGAUUUAGGCCUGUGGUGGAUAAUAGUGUGCGUGCAUUAAUUUUUUAUACCUUCUUAAUCAAUAUUUUAAAAUACUGACGGCAACUUGCCAAGUGUUGUAAUGUAUCAAUAUCUUAUUUGAGACCAACGUGCUAUUUACAUGUGCGCUCGAGAGUGCAGGGGAAGGAAACUUGUCAAUUAUGUUUAUUUUGAAGCCUGGGUAAUCCUCAAAUUGACGCAAGAGGCCUGUGGUACGGGCUUACUACUAAUACAGGUCUUUGUCUCAAAAUAACUCAGAAGCGUCAAAUAACAGUUGGGAUCGUCUCGGGGGUCUUCUUUUUCUGUCUUUUUUUUAAACUAUAUUUUUAAUAGCUUACACUUUUUUUCAUUAUUCUCUUUCUUUCACUAUUCUUUAUUCCUUUUUUUCUUUGACCCUUAUUUUCUAUUCUGUUAAUUCAAAUCCAUACCCUCUUAUGUGGACUUUCGGUGGUUUAUUUUUUAGUUCUGGUAUUAUGUGAUAAGUCAAUUUCAUGCAGUUUCAUGAAUUAAUGGUUUUAUGCAUUUCAGCCAAGAUUUGCAUAAAUUUUAAUAAACAAUUCAACACUACACGUUAUGUGAAUUU
rnacentral:lncRNA from 1 species